rnacentral:rRNA from 1 species
GACGAACGCUGGCGGCGUGCUUAACACAUGCAAGUCGAACGGAAAGGCCCCCUUGUGGGGUACUCGAGUGGCGAACGGGUGAGUAACACGUGAGUAACCUACCCUUGACUUUGGGAUAACUUCAGGAAACUGGGGCUAAUACCGGAUAGGAGCUCCUACUGCAUGGUGGGGGUUGGAAAGUUUCGGCGGUUGGGGAUGGACUCGCGGCUUAUCAGCUUGUUGGUGGGGUAGUGGCUCACCAAGGCUUUGACGGGUAGCCGGCCUGAGAGGGUGACUGGCCACAUUGGGACUGAGAUACGGCCCAGACUCCUACGGGAGGCAGCAGUGGGGAAUAUUGCACAAUGGGCGGAAGCCUGAUGCAGCAACGCCGCGUGCGGGAUGACGGCCUUCGGGUUGUAAACCGCUUUCGCCUGUGACGAAGCGUGAGUGACGGUAAUGGGUAAAGAAGCACCGGCUAACUACGUG